rnacentral:miRNA from 1 species
UCUUGUUACUCUGUUACAUAGAAAUGUGUGUGUAUAUAUAUAUACAUAUAUAUAUAUAUGUAUUAUAUAUACAUGCAUAUAUAUACAUACAUACAUAUAUAUGCAUAUUUAUAUACACAUAUA